UCUAAUCAAACCUCGGCUCUUAUCAAGAGUGAAUUGAUUGAAAAUACCUUUUUUCUUCUUUUUUUAAUGUAUCGUUUAGAUGCAAAGCUGCUUAUGGGGGAACAGCUCUCGCAUUUGUUACAUUUUGGAGCGUGAAUUUGCAUGUCUAGUGUGUAAGGCGUCCGAUCUGUUUUUCUAAUGCACACCGUUUUCGGAUCGUUUUUCCCCCCCUGGUCUUCGAAAUAACAUUUGGAAAAAAGAAACAUCGUGUGCAUUUGCGAAUGGAACUCUUGCUGUUCUAAAUAAGCAUCGAGAUUUUACAGACGACAUGUCGAACUGUAUGGAAUUGGAUGAAUUUAUUUGUUUGAAAAAGAAUUAGAAAUUUUUUGACGGAAGAACUGAAUGCUCGAAGGAAUUGAUUUGUUCGGAAAAAGAAUCGGUACUUUUUUUUUUUAUUGCAUAUGAAUUGAAUACCCUAAUUCGUAUUUUUUGAGAAAGAAGCGGUAGUCUAUUGCAUGUGUAGAAUUAUUGAAAUACAUUUAUUUUCGAAAAGAAUAAUUAAAUCAAAAUUAUUUACUUUAUUCUCCUUCUUAUUUUAUUUUAGAGUUUCAGUUUUGCUUGUUUAUUUAAAAUUUAUUUUAUCGAAUGAAAAAUCAUGGCAGAUGUGAAUGAAGGAUUUACAGUCACUUGGAAAAUAAAAAAUUUCGCGUAUUGUUUGCAAAAGAAACUCGAACCGCUCACCAGUCCGCUUUUCGUUGUGAACAGUUUUGGUGGAACACAGUGGAUUCUCUUAGUGUAUCCAAGAGGGGUUGAGGAUGACAAAGAAGUCAGUUUCUAUCUCCAUCGAAAAAAUGGAGGGCUGGAUACAAUAUCGAUUGAUUAUGAGCUGUCCAUUAUCGAUGCAAAUGGCACCCCCUUUAAGAAUGUUGAAAUCAAAAAUCAUUCUUUCACGGUCAAUCACGGUUUCGGUCAGUCUGCAAUCAUUCCACGAAAAGAUAUUGUCGAGAAAAACAAGGAUAUUCUCCUACCCGAAGAUACGUUAACUCUUCGUUGCCGAAUGUGGUAUUGUGGCAUUGACCCAUCUCCCAAGGGAUGCACACUCAGUACUUGUAUAGGAAUCGACAAAGGGAUUUUCAAUUGGCCCAUAAGAGGAUUUAGUACUCUUAAAGUCGGUGAAGAGCAGACACUUUCACUAGAAUCAUCUUCAAAGGAUUAUCCGUUGAUGCUUUUAAAAAUGUCUUUGACAGGAGGAUAUCUGUGUGACCGACGUGUAAAAAUCGAGAUCUGUCAAACAGAUUCCAAAAGACCUAGCUAUGUAGUGCUGAAUGUGCAGGUGUUGAGUGUUUAUGGCAAAGCAUUAGAAAUUGCUGAGGCUGAACAUUUCUUCGAAAAGAAAGACGGCUUACAAGUAUGGACGUUUCCGCCAUUUAUUACAAAGGAAAAACUGAUUGCAAAGCAGAGCAUCUACCUGCCUGGAGAUGUAUUGACCUUAAAGUGCAACUGUGUGUUGUCUGUAGGAGUUAAGUCAGAAGAAAUAAAAUAUGACGACCCUGUAAUUAUAUCGGAUCGCACCUCGAUUGAGAGUCUACCUGACGCAAGCUCACCACUCAGCUUUAUAUCUGAUCGUGUCUCAACUGGAAGGCUACCCAAUGAUACCUCGAUUCUUAACACUGAACGACAUAUCUUCAAGACGAACCGCCGACAUCGUCAUCAGAAUGCUCGAAUGGCCUUUCCUAAUCCUUCCGAUUUCCCCGAAAUAUCACAGUCCUUCAGAUCAGAUCUUCAGAGUCUGUAUGAAGACCAGAUCCUCCCGGAUUUCACCUUACGAGCUGGUGGCAAGAGUUUUCCGGUCCACAAAGCACUUCUGAGUGCCAGAUCUCCGGUUUUCAGGGCCAUGUUUACCAGCGACAUGCGGGAACAUACCGGAGAAUAUGCUGAAGUAUCAGAUUUAGAUUCUGAAACAAUGCAUCGAUUCCUGUGGUACAUGUACACAGACAUCACUGAAGUAAAUCUCGACUGGUAUGCUGUCUAUUUGUUAUAUUUCGCUGCAGACAAGUACGAAGUUUUGUCUCUGAAGCAAAAAUGUGCUGAGUUUCUGAAAGGCAGUUUUUGUCCGGGCAAUAUUCUUGAGAUCUUGUAUCUAGCAGAUAUGCAUCAGGAUGAUGAUCUGAAAUCAUGUGCGUUAGAGUUCAUUUUGAUGCACGAUUAUCUAGUUAUUGGGUCAGAUGAAUGGAAAAAAUUCGAGAGUGCUAAUCCUACCCUCGCAUAUGAGACCAUGCGAGACAUUUAUCAGAUGAAACUGAACAUACAGACAAGAACAGAAAUAAAUGGUAAUGGCCUCUUCGAAACCCUGGGGCCGUAGUGGCCUGAUGGUAAGGUCUUGGCUUCGAAACCGGAAGGUUUCAAGUUCGAGACCCGAUUCUACCGAAGAACUGUCGUAUAAGAGGGUCUGGUGUACGCUAAAUAAGUCGAGGCCACACGUCCUCCCGCUGAUGUGCUGUGGAAGUUCGGAAAAGGGAGUGUCAGUUCAGGUGUCGUCCUCAUCAUCUGACCACAAAAAUUACGAGGUAUGCUGCCUCCUAAAAGGGCGAGAAAAAAAUAAAGAAUACCAUGUUUGAUUUUUUUUUAUUGAUUCUUGAUUGAUUGUCAAACAAUGUUACAUUUCUUUUUUCAGCAUUUCUACUCAAAGAAUCAUAUUUGUUUCAUUCAUUGUAUUUUGAAGAAAAAGUGCUGAAAUCAAGAGACAUAAUGUUGAAAAGGAAAACAAAUGGGAAUCAGUUCUGAGUUUUAAAAAUAUAUCAAUUGGAAUGAUGAAUAAUGAUAUUCCAUUUUUGUAUUUUUAAAAACUUGAUCUCUUUAAAUAUGAUUUAUAAAGCUUGCUAAAUCUCUAAAUAUUUCUUAUGCGAAGAGAAAAUACGGGCAUUUAAAAUUUUUAAUUCAGCGAAAAAUAGGAGAACUUGAAAUUUGCUUUGACGUAUCCCACACAUGUUCAAUCAAUCGAGAUAACUAGAAAAUCCACUCGAGUGGUAUCUUUCAUAAUUCGUCGAAUUUUAAUCUCUUGGAUGAGUAAUAAUUCAGUCUUUAAAAGUAUGAGUGUUUUUUAUUAUAAAUAAUAUUUGAGGCAUGUAAUUCCUAUUUGAUGGAAAUCCGUUUUUUUCCUUUACUUCCAUCAAAAUAAAAAUUUGAAAAAAAAAAAAAAAUCGGAAUUCUGAAGAUUGGCCUUAUAGGUGGGCAUGUAACAAAUCACCAUUAAGAUAACGUUUUUGAAUUGAAAAUCGAUGUGGUUCCGAUUUAUUUUUGAGCAUUAUACUUCCUCUAGAAGUUUGAACAUUCUGUAACAGAACGUUAUAGAAAGUUUUCUUUUAUGAGCAGCUUUUUUCAUAACAUUUCAGCAAAAAAUGUGCCGUUUGAAUGUAUUUAUUAUAUACGUUUUUGUUAAAAUGGUGCUCAAUGCAGUAUUCUAAAAUGAAAAUUAUACUAAUAAUUUAUUUGAUAAUAGAAACGAUUGGAGAUUAGUCUUUAAAUAUAUGAUCAUAUUUCAUUUGAAAAAAAUAUUCACAAUUUCUAUUUUAUCUCCAUGUAACACAUUGUUUCUUAUGUGCAUAUAUAUUUGUUCCAUACUAAUGUGUUGCAAAUGCUUUAGCUUUAAAUGAUGUUAUUUACUGCUAUUUCCUGAUAUCACUGAAAUAUCU